rnacentral:rRNA from 1 species
UACGUAGGGGGCUAGCGUUGUCCGGAAUUAUUGGGCGUAAAGAGCUCGUAGGCGGUUUGUCGCGUCUGCCGUGAAAGUCCGGGGCUCAACCCCGAACUUGCAGUGGGUACGGGCAGACUAGAGUGUGGUAGGGGAGACUGGAAUUCCUGGUGUAGCGGUGAAAUGCGCAGAUAUCAGGAGGAACACCGAUGGCGAAGGCAGGUCUCUGGGCCACUACUGACGCUGAGAAGCGAAAGCAUGGGGAGCGAACAGG